ensembl:lncRNA
GGCAUUAUUUCACUCUUUUUUAUGGCUGAGUAAUAUUCCAUUGUAUAUGUGUACCACAUCUUCUUUAUCCAUUCAACUGUCAAUGGACAUUUAGGUUGCUUCCAUGUCUUGGCUACUGUAAAUAGUGCUUCAGUGAACACUGGGGUGCAUGUACCUUUCGAAGUAUGUUUUUUUCUGGAUAUAUGCCAGGAGUGGGAUUACUUGAUUGUAUGGUAAUUCUAUUUUUAGUUUUUUAAGGAAACUCCAUGCCAUUCUCCAUAGUAACUGGACCAGUUUACAUUCCCACCAACAUGUAGAAAAGUUCCCUUUUCUCCACACCAAAAGUGGAGUGCUUUUUAAAAAUUCAUUUUUCAGUCCUCAAAUUUUUAAAAAAAUUGCCAAUCAGAUACUGCCUACACUGAGACUGACUUAUACAUGGAUCAUUAGGUAUAUACAGUCAGAGAAUAAAAAAGCUAAGAUUUUACAGACUAUAAGCAUUGGUUUAUUAUAUUUAUUAUUUUUAGUAUUGGUUUAUUAUUGGUUUAUUGUGUUUACUUUUUCUUUUUUUUUUUUCCGCCAAGUUCUAGUAAAAUGAAAUAGGGGGAGAGAUCAGUUAAAGACCUUCAUAUGAUACACAGUCUAAACUAGACUAGUAGCAUUGGAAAAGAGGAAAUGGAUUCCAGAGACUGUGAGGGUGAAUCGCAAGGACAGUUGGAUGCCAUUGGAAGCAAGGACAUGAGAUUUUGAGUUUAGAUGAUAUAGGAAAUGUGGAUGGGGGAGCAGCUUUGAAAGAGAAGGCAGUUUUAGUCAGAAGAUGAUUGUUAUGAGUGUAAAUAGGCACUUGUUUUGAACUUUUUUUCUCCUAAGGAAUUGAGACUUGAGCAUUCUCUUGAGAAGAAAGGGCGAAAGUUUGUAGGACAAAGUUCUGGAGAAGUCAGGAUGAAGAUAACAUAGUAUUCUUUUUAAAAAUUAACAUUUAUUACUGUAAAGAAAUCUAAUGGUACAUCUUCAUCAUUCCAGUCCCAAUAAAAAUAAGAAAAGUUAAGAGUUGGAAUUUUGUUAUUAAAGCUCAUACUCCUCAUGGUGAAUAUCAAAAGUAUUUUUUGAAGGGCUCACCAUCUAUCAGCCUAGGAUUGGGCCAUAGCCUUCUAAUGGUUCUUCUUACUAUCAGUUCUACUAUAUCUAUAUUUCUCAUUACAGAUAUUAUAGAGUUCUUCCAAAAUGCAAUCAGAAAUUAUGGGGGAAAAAAGAAGUCAUUAACACCUUUCUUUAGAAUAAUUCUUCCCUUAAAGUAAUAAAAUCUAUAAUUUUCAUGAUCUUGUUGCAUUUUCUAACAGUCUAUGUUCAUUGCAUAAUUUACAUACCAGCCA